UACAGAGGGGGCAAGCGUUGUUCGGAAUUACUGGGCGUAAAGGGCGCGUAGGCGGCCUGUUAAGUCGAACGUGAAAUCCCCGGGCUCAACCCGGGAACUGCGUCCGAAACUGGCAGGCUCGAAUUCGGGAGAGGGAUGCGGAAUUCCAGGUGUAGCGGUGAAAUGCGUAGAUAUCGAGAGGAACACCUGCGGCGAAGGCGGGUUGCUGGGCUGACACUGACGCUGAGGCGCGAAAGCUAGGGGAGCGAACGGG
rnacentral:rRNA from 1 species